GAGAAAUUUAGCUAUUACGUUUCUGGCUUAUAAACUGCAGGAAGGUACAUGAGAAGGAACAGGGAAUUGAUGUUUUCAGUGCUGGGUCAAUUUGAGUAAUAGUUUUUCAGGCCUUCGAAUUUGACUCAAAGUAACUCUUGGCAUGAUCAGAAGAAGAACUGUGUGGGCACGUGUCCCUUCACUGCCACUGUACCAGUUCCUCACCUCCUUUUUCUAGUUGCAUUCCUAGAGAAGAUGCUGGAUCAUUAAUUUCCAUAUAGCAAAUAGCAAGACGGAGGAGUAUAAAAUGGGACUGUGAUGACACACAGAGAUCCAUUCCUGCUAACUUUAGGUUGAGUUUUUUUAAAUGUCACAUUUUGUUUAAAUUACAGGUGGUUGAAAUUGUUACUUUUGCCUUCAGCAAACUUACAAGAAGAAGAGAAAAUCAAUAUGACCUAGAGAAGAGCACAUCUUUUCACACAUAAAAUACCAGAAGAUGCAUACAAACAUGAAAACAAAUGGAAUUAUUUGGAAAGUUAAGAAUUCUGUAGAAUCCAACGUCAGCAGAAUAGCAGACUAAAAAGCUCCAAAUGCUUUUCCUCCAAAGAAACGUUAAAAAACAACAACAAAACACCCUGAAAUGAUCUAAACCAACUUUGAAUGAACUCUGAAAACAAAGGUUUGUAGCAACCAAGCAAACACCCAAUCAAGAAGAAGACAUCUCCAAAACGGUAGGAGACAUUUUGUGGUGUUUUUACUUUCUCCACUCCGUCCCUGGCCCAGUGGCAAUCUUGGUAUUGGAAAAAGCAACUCAGUUUCUAGUUCCCCUCAUCCUCAAAUUGAAGGGAGCAGAACAUACCUUAUUUGCAAAUUACUGGGCAUAUCUGUUCUAACCUGGUUGGAGGUUAUUUGAAGAACUGAUGCGCUAGUCUCUGUCUGGCAUAAUUUGGAAUACAGGCAAAGAAAGAGGUCCUCAUAAAAGCUAUAAGGAACUACAAACCCACACAUGCUUGGGAUAGGAGAUCACACAUAAUAGACCAUCUAAGGCCCAGAGAGGAAGCUGGGGUAAGACUCUGGGAAAUUAGGACAUUGAAUAGUAACUGCUUACAUACACACGGGACUUUAGAGAGUCACAAGUGCAUGUCCAGCCAAGACUCAUGCUCAGAAAUGUCCUGAGAAGACCUUAAGCUUUCACCUCAAGGUGAGACCUAGGAUCAAAGCAAGCCUAGCUAACCGGUGAAUGGCUACCCCUGCAUGAAGUACAUUUGUGUAGACUGGGAGAGGUAGUUGUUCUUUCUUUUCAGUCUUUUGUGUGUGUGUGUGGUGGCGGGGUGGGCAAGGGGGUGUUUUUGUUUAUUUGUCUGUUUCAGCUCCUGGCAUUCAAGGAAAUCUCUUUCAAAGCAUUUGCCGAACAUGAGCUGAAGGAACAGAGGCUUCAAUGAGUACAUAUAACAAGAAUAAUUGCUGCAUAGUUUAAAAAUGUCUCAAAACAGAUGGAUUACUGAAGCUUUUAACAAUUAAAAAAAUAGAAAGUCUUGAAGAAUGGGGAAAAUCUGAUUUUCAGAGUUACCGCAUUAUAAUAAUGAAAUGGCCAAUUUGCAACAACAACAAAAUAAUCACUAGGUAUAUAAGGAAGAGGAAAACAUGGCUCAUUCAAAGGAACAAAAUAAAUUGACAUAAACUGGCUGGGAGGAAGCCUAGACAUCACACUUACCAGACAAAAAAAUUUAAAACAACUGUCUUAAAUGUGCCCAAAGAGCUAAAGCAAAAUUACAAAUCUGUUUUAAAAAAUUGAAGUGAAAAAGGGAAAUAGGAGGAAAAUAAAAUACACAUCCCAAUUCCCUUAUCUAUAGUAGCUGAGACUCAAAAUAUUUAAUAUAUCAUAUAAAGAGGGCAAUUCAAGUAACAGAAGUCUCAGCAUAUUUAAAAGUACAGAGGUAAACACUAUGAAAGACAAUACUAUUGACUAAAAUUGUGUAGUGAGGAGAUGUAAAAAAAAAAAAAAAGAGAGAGAAGAGGUAAUAGGCUAAUUUUACCACCACCUAACGUUACUUUAAUAUCCACAAGUGAAAAAAGCAUUAUAGUAAGUUUUGCGAUCAGAAAGUGUGAUCUUCCAACUUUGUUUUCUUUUUCGUUUGGUUUGGCUAUUGGCCUUGAGUUUCCUUAUCAGUUUUAGUAUCAGUUUGUCAAAUUCUGCAAAGACACCAGUUAGGAUUCUGAUAGGAAUUGUGUUGAAUCUGAAAUCAAUCUAGGGUUUAUUGCCAUCUUAACAAUAUUCUGUAUUUUUCAAAAAGCCACUUAGAUCAGUCUCUAUCCUGAAAUCUUAACCUAAUCAAUUUUCCAGAAUUUUUAACAGAAUUUAAAAAAAAUAGGCCAUAAUUCACGUAAUGUUGACAAGGUAUGGAAAAUAAAUAAAUUUUAUCAUAGAAAUUAUAUCAAGUACAUUUAUUUAUUUAUUUACUUAUUUAUUUAUUUAUUUAUUUAAUAUUUUUUUGAGACGGAUUCUUGCUGUCGCCCAGGCUGGAGUGCAAUGGCGCAAUCUCGGCUCACUGCAACUUACACCUCCCAGGUUCAAGCCAUUCUCCUGCCUCAGCCUCCCAGGUAGCUGGGACUACAGGCAUGUGCCCCCAAGCCCAGCUAAUUUUUUUGUAUUUUUAGUAGAGAUAGGGUUUCACCAUGCUGUACAAGCUGGUCUCAAACUCCUGACCUCAAGUGAUCCACCCACUUCUGCCUCCCAAAGUGCUGGGAUAACAGACGUGAGCCACCACGCCCAGUCGAGUACGUUUAUUUGAUUCGUGUCAAAGCAGCAGGAAGAAACACUUAUAAAUAUCUACCCACCACACCCGAAUUGCACUGAGUUUUAUGGUGUGUUAAAAUAAAGCAUCUGGUUUUAAAUAAAGAAGGGAAAAGCAAAGAAAAUAAAACAAUGUAUUAACUAUGAAUUAAGGUACAGCUGAAGUAAUUAACAAUAGAUUAAAUGGAUCAAUAAUUACCAUAUCAUACAUUAGUCAUGUUUGACACCUUCCAAAAAGUAUCUAAAAUAUGUUACCUGGACACAUACAUAAACUCAGGGGUAGAAUUAACUCCGUAGUAAAACAAUUUGACAAGUGACCUUACCUCUAUUUAUAGAGAAUGUCAGUAAACACAAUUGAUACGAUUUUUAUUAUAAAAGUUACAGAAAUUUCCAGAUUUAAUCACCUAGAAAACUUUGUUUUAAUCUGCUUAAUCAUAAGGAAGAUUGUUCCAUGUAUUUGUUUGACAGGCUCCUCGGAAUCUAAAUAUUUAUAUAUUUUGCCUUUCUUACCACCAUGUAAAUUGUAGAACCGUUGGUGCAAAGAUCAAAAGAAAACCUAGACUGAGGGACCAAAAGAUGGCAUAAGGUUUGGAAGGAUAUGUGGGCUCUGUGUGAAGGGAAUGUUUUCCAAGCAUUGUAACAAGAGUGCAUUGACUUGAGGUGGAGACAAAACAUUAAAAGGUAACGUAAGCUGGCUGGAGGGAAAACAUCAGAUCUGAAAUCAGAUCAGGCUCGUUGCUGUGAAGAUAUGUUAGAAGGCAAGUUAGAGUCCCAUUGUUAGAAGAAGAACAAGAUGCCAAAUGUUGAUCCUGGCAGCUUAAGUUCUCAAAAACAUUUGCUGGUUCAUGUCUUUUUAUAUAUUCCCUGGAUAUUCCAGAGUCACUCACAUAGGGCCUCCACUAUGACGUGCAAAUAAGGCAUCUGGCAAGUGGCAAAGCCAGGAUGCAAACUCAGUUCUAACUGUGGGUUAGAACAAAGGAGCAGAAAAAAAUAACAUAACCAUCCUGGCUAACACGGUGAAACCCCGUCUCUACUAAAAAUACAAAAAAUUAGCCGGGCGCGGUGGCGGG
rnacentral:lncRNA from 10 species